GCUCAGGAUGAACGCUAGCGACAGGCUUAACACAUGCAAGUCGAGGGGCAGCAUGAGGUAGCAAUACCUUGAUGGCGACCGGCGCACGGGUGAGUAACGCGUAUGCAACCUGCCUGAUACCGGGGUAUAGCCCAUGGAAACGUGGAUUAACACCCCAUAGUACUUUUAUCCUGCAUGGGAUGUGAGUUAAAUGUUCAAGGUAUCGGAUGGGCAUGCGUCCUAUUAGUUAGUUGGCGGGGUAACAGCCCACCAAGACGAUGAUAGGUAGGGGUUCUGAGAGGAAGGUCCCCCACAUUGGAACUGAGACACGGUCCAAACUCCUACGGGAGGCAGCAGUGAGGAAUAUUGGUCAAUGGACGUAAGUCUGAACCAGCCAAGUCGCGUGAGGGAAGACUGCCCUAUGGGUUGUAAACCUCUUUUAUAAGGGAAGAAUAAGUUCUACGUGUAGAAUGAUGCCUGUACCUUAUGAAUAAGCAUCGGCUAACUCCGUGCCAGCAGCCGCGGUAAUACGGAGGAUGCGAGCGUUAUCCGGAUUUAUUGGGUUUAAAGGGUGCGUAGGCGGUUUAUUAAGUUAGUGGUUAAAUAUUUGAGCUAAACUCAAUUGUGCCAUUAAUACUGGUAAACUGGAGUACAGACGAGGUAGGCGGAAUAAGUUAAGUAGCGGUGAAAUGCAUAGAUAUAACUUAGAACUCCGAUAGCGAAGGCAGCUUACCAGACUGUAACUGACGCUGAUGCACGAGAGCGCGGGUAGCGAACAGGAUUAGAUACCCUGGUAGUCCACGCCGUAAACGAUGCUCACUGGUUCUGUGCGAUAUAUUGUACGGGAUUAAGCGAAAGUAUUAAGUGAGCCACCUGGGGAGUACGUCGGCAACGAUGAAAAUCAAAGGAAUUGACGGGGGUCCGCACAAGCGGAGGAACAUGUGUUUUAAUUAGAUGAUACUCGAGGAACCUUACCUGGGUUUAAAUGGGAAAUGUAGUAUAUGGAAACAGAUAUUGUAUUCGGAGCGUUGUACAAGGUGCUGCAUG
rnacentral:rRNA from 1 species